UGGGGAAUUUUGGACAAUGGGCGAAAGCCUGAUCCGGCAAUGCCGCGUGUGUGAAGAAGGCCUUCGGGUUGUAAAGCACUUUUGUCCGGAAAGAAAUCCUUGGCUCUAAUACAGUCGGGGGAUGACGGUACCGGAAGAAUAAGCACCGGCUAACUACGUGCCAGCAGCCGCGGUAAUACGUAGGGUGCAAGCGUUAAUCGGAAUUACUGGGCGUAAAGCGUGCGCAGGCGGUUUGCUAAGACCGAUGUGAAAUCCCCGGGCUCAACCUGGGAACUGCAUUGGUGACUGGCAGGCUAGAGUAUGGCAGAGGGGGGUAGAAUUCCACGUGUAGCAGUGAAAUGCGUAGAGAUGUGGAGGAAUACCGAUGGCGAAGGCAGCCCCCUGGGCCAAUACUGACGCUCAUGCACGAAAGCGUGGGGAGCAAACAGGAUUCAGAUACCCUGGUAGUCCACGCCCUAAACGAUGUCAACUAGUUGUUGGGGAUUCAUUUCCUUAGUAACGUAGCUAACGCGUGAAGUUGACCGCCUGGGGAGUACGGUCGCAAGAUU
rnacentral:rRNA from 1 species